rnacentral:lncRNA from 1 species
AGACACAAGAUGGGAAGAUGGGGGAAGCGAAGGAUGAAGACCUAGGGCAGAGCCUGAGUUGUGAGGAGGGAGCAAAAAUCUGCCCCCAGGACUGUCUGAGUCCACACUGGCUGCUCGGCUCAUGGUGCAGGUGUGUGGGAGCCCUCCUCCACAUGGUCUCCACAGCAACCCGCCACUCUAAUCUGCUGAAUAUGAAAAGAAGAAACAGAAAGAGAAAAGCCAUCCACCCCCUUCUGCUCCAUCCAUGAGUCCAAAAGAAGGAUAUCGUCUCCAGGCAUUCCUGAUAAUACCCCAGCCAUUGCCCUGGCAACAGUCACAGGGAGCCGGCAUGGCCUGUGGAGAAAGCAGUCCCUGUCUCUAGCUCAGGCGGCUUCCUCCUCCUCCUCUUCUCCCACCACGGAUCUCCUAAUAGCCCCUAACAAUUGUGCACCCCACUUUUGGCCCACUGCCUCAUGCCCUCCAGCCUGCCAGCGGAUCACUGACACAGAGAAUACAGAAAUCCACAUACUUUUCUCCUAAUGGUACUGAAAUGAUACUUGCAGGCAUGCAUACAGGCUUUAAGUGUGUAUAGAUGAGAUUGUGUGUGUGUGUCUGUGUGUGUGUGUGUGUGUGUGUGUGUGUGUGUGUGUGCCUGUGUACAGAUUUGAAAGACUCUUCACCUCUAGAUCCCCUGCAGAUGAACUGUGUUUACACGCUGAAUGAAGAAGUAGAGACUACUUCUUAUCAAAGCUAAGAGUUUGGAAAAGCCACCGCUUACAACUCCCAUUCUCUCAGCUGAGCUGGCUGAGGAGGUUUGCAGAGUCCUUUGCUCUGAGCCUCAUACCCAGCAGUGAAAGCUCUCAUUUGUCUUAAGGCCAUCAUGUUGAUGCAGCUGGCUUUGACACUGCUUACCUCAGCAUUUUUUUUUUUUUCGGUUGAAAGACAGAAGGCUUCCUUGUGAUCCCAGCCUUUUCCUAUCAAAUGACACUCAGCCUGGGUUUGGGUGACUUAUUUACUGGCACUAGACCAGUAAAAACAAAAAUGAACGUUCGCAACUAAUAAAUCCUCGUGCUUAGAUAGCUAGAGCCACAGUGGUGGGAUUACACCAGAAUGCUCAGCCGUUUCUGGAGGGCUCCCAGGCUGUGCAGAGCCUAAUAAGUCAGAGGAGGAAAGGGGACCAAAUCAAGGAGCAGAGAAAUUACGUGCAGCGUGGGUUUUGGACAAUGAAAACCUUUUAUCUUCACUCUACGACGUGCUUUCCGGGUGGGGGAUUCUAGAGGCAGAAAUAGGGUGUACUGUGUUUGCAUCAUCACGGUGAGCCUGUUACGCUUGCCACCUUGACCUUCCUUUCUUGAAAAUCAAACCACACCCAUCUUCAGUAAGAUGAAAAAAGACAGCUAAGAUUCUGGACAGCGCAAUCACAGCUUUUCAGAGAACUGAAAGGAGCUAUUUUUAUAGAGGGCACGAGGUCAAGAAUGUUUAGCAAACAAAUUGAAUGUCAUCUACUCGCAGAGAAUUCUCCAAGGACCUUCCUUCUCCCAGGCCCUUGUGGAAAGUGAGGGCACCUCUGAGAGGCGGGUGCAAUGAUGUUUUUCCUUGUUUCAGAAUUGAUCUUUGGUAUAGAAGAACAUUUUUAUGUUAAUAUAAAUCCAAAAGAAUCCCACCAUAAAAUAUUGACAUACUAAGUCUCUGAGCAUCCACACUUCCUUUAAGGUUAGGUCUGCUGGGGCAGCUACCAUUGUGUCACAGUGGAAAACUUCCUCAUAGGAUUUAACCUGAUGGAACAAAAUAGAGAUUAAAAAGCAGAGACUUUUUUUUUUUUAAGUAUAACUCAAAUGGCCUUUGUACAUGUGAAUGGGCAUUUGACUAUUUGGAAAGAUGAUUGAUAGCCAUUGAUUUCUCUCUUCCUUUUUAAUUUUGGCUUCAUGACUGAGAGACUACCACGAAGGAUAUUUACUGGUGACAUAUUAGAACACAGCCACCCAGCGGUUCUACUUGUUUGUAUAAUUCCUUUAAUCUAUGUUGUUGCCACUGUCAUCCUGUUUAGCUGCGAUGUCCCCUCAGUACAAAGAAGAUACCUAUAAUGAGUGGAUAAUGGGAGCUAUGCUCUCUCAAAGCACCCAAUGAAAGAACAUAUUACAAGUCUUUCAGAGCUCUGCAAAAUUAUUGCAUCUGAUGGCUUUGACAGUGCCAUCCUUAAAGGUAAAACCAGACGAAUCAAAUGUGCAUAGACUAGUUCAGUCAUCUCAUUAGGAAGCUUUUAGAAUGCUUGCUGUCCACCAAUGACGCAGCUGCUUUAAAUGCUUUCAUAAGUCUUCAGGGUUGAAAUGUAAUGUCUCUGUGAUGGAACAUAGUUAGACACUCCUCCCUCUCCAUGGAGAGAGAGAGAGAGAGAGAGAGAGAGAGAGAGAGAGAGAGAGAGAAUGGGAAUAAAAUAUGUAUACUCUCUACUCAUUGUCUCUAAGGAUAAUCAAAUACUGUGUAUGUGUGCAGUGUGUGAAUGUAUGUACAUGUUUAUGUAUGGGUGGUACAUACAUAUGAAUAUUCACAUCCAUGUGUAUGCAUGCAGAGUCUGGAGAAGGGUGUAAUGUAUUUUCCUUGGCCUGAGACUGGGUCUCUCACUGUAUAGAAAGUGUGCCAUUUUUAGUAGGAUUUUACCCGGGACCUGGAUUUAUCUCGGAUCCUUGUGUUUAUAAAGCAUGUACUCUUAACUACUGAGCUAUCUCCCCAGUCCCAAGUAUCAAUUAUCUUCUGAUUAUUUAAAUACUUAGAAAAUGAGCUAUCAUGAAUUCAAAUUAUCUUUAAAUCUUGUG